AACGCACAUUGCGCCCUUUGGUAUUCCGAAGGGAAUGCCUGUUCGAGCGUCAUUUCACCACUCAAGCCUGGCUUGGUAUUGGGCGCCGCGGUCAAUCCGCGCGCCUCAAAGUCUCCGGCUGAGCUGUCCGUCUCUAAGCGUUGUGAUUUCAUUAAUCGCUUCGGAGUGCGGGCGGCCGCGGCCGUUAAAUCUUUCACAAGGUUGACCUCGGAUCAGGUAGGGAUACCCGCUGAACUUAA
rnacentral:misc_RNA from 1 species